UACGUAGGUGGCAAGCGUUGUCCGGAAUUAUUGGGCGUAAAGCGCGCGCAGGCGGUCCUUUAAGUCUGAUGUGAAAGCCCACGGCUCAACCGUGGAGGGUCAUUGGAAACUGGGGGACUUGAGUGCAGGAGAGAAGAGUGGAAUUCCACGUGUAGCGGUGAAAUGCGCAGAUAUCGGGAGGAACACCAAUGGCGAAGGCAGCACUCUGGGACGGUACUGACGCUGAGGCACGAAAGCGUGGGGAGCAAACAGGG
rnacentral:rRNA from 1 species